AGGGGGCCGCAAAAUCCAUCAGACUAUCACCAAGUUUGCAAAUUUAAAUUUUCUCAGAGUGGUAGACUUGUCUCAAAACCAACUCACGGGGCCCAUUCCGUAGGCAGUGCACUUUGAUACCUUCGGAAAUACUUUAUACACUGGAAACUUGUGGUUGUGCGGAUUUCAACUGUCAAAAGAAUACAGAAGAUAUGAGACAUUACAACCAACCUCAAAAUUGAAAGCCUCGGUGGCUUGUAAGGAUCGUUGAAGGAGGACACCGUCAAAAGGGGAGAAGGCCAAACAAGAGACAAUGUGGAAGAAAAGAGUAGUUCUUACAAGUUCUC